rnacentral:snRNA from 1 species
GGACAAGAGGUCAAUCUGGCUACAAUAUCUCACACCACACUGCUCACUAAGGUUGGUUUGACUGAUCUUGUUGGCUAGGUAAGUGGUGAUAGCAUUGAUGCCCUUACCACCUUGUGUAUCCCUUCGUAAGGUGUAUGCUCUGUUGACAAGGCCAGCCUUACCAACUGAGGUAGACAUCUUCAGUCAAGGUGCUCCCCUUAGAACCACCAAGUGAUGGUUGCGGAAUUAGGUUCUGAGGUGGUUAACCUGGCCCUAGACAUAUGAUAGGGAUGUAGUGGCCUUUAUGAAAUUGUCACUAGAU